UACAGAGGGGGCAAGCGUUAUUCGGAAUUAUUGGGCGUAAAGGGCGCGUAGGCGGCCUGGCAAGUGGAAGGUGAAAUCCCUCGGCUUAACCGAGGAACUGCCUCCCAAACUGCUUGGCUUGAGACCGGGAGAGGUGAGUGGAAUUCCCAGUGUAGCGGUGAAAUGCGCAGAUAUCAGGAGGAACACCGGUGGCGAAGGCGGGUCUCUGGGCCGUAACUGACGCUGAGGAGCGAAAGCAUGGGGAGCGAACAGG
rnacentral:rRNA from 1 species